GUUCGAAGCCUGCUGAUAAUCUUGUGAAUUUUGAUUUCCAGCCUUCUUGUUCCACGAGUUGAAUCCUGAUUUCAACUUAUUUUUGUUUUCAUUUUGACUUUGGAUAUACUGCUUUCAAUAGGUUGUCAUGAUUUCACUAAAGCUGUAAGUAAUAUGAGUUACACCAUUAGAUGCUACAGUAUCUGUCAGGCACAAAAUAGCUAUAUUAUGAAAUACGAAGUAUUCAUGGAAAAACCUGUACAUCCUGGCUAUGUUAUGAUUUACCUAUGGCAGUGAAUAAUUAGAGUUCCAUUCUCUGAAAAUUAUCCCCUGUACUUGUACGUCCAUUAUAGCUCACAUGAGAACUGUCUCCGAUCAAGUUGUCUUUGUACUAGGGAUUUGACCACUAGAUUCUGGAGCACUUGUCUGAAAGAUUAUUAGAACGAUGCUAUGAUGGCCUCGAUAUUUAAUCCAGAUUCUGGAUGGUUUAUUACCUGGCAAAUGAUAGGUGGCAAAUGGCAAGUUUGGUGUGUAAUUGGGUGGGUUGUAAGUGGAUCACUAAUAAAUGGGUGAAAUUCCAAUUGAACAAAUGAUUAUAAGGUAUUAGGUGGGUUAUCAAUGGACCUGUAAGACCUAUUCUCAAGGUGACAUGAUAAUUUUUUUUUCAACUAUCUUUUUACAUGAUUUUUACCCUUUUAUUUUCUCCCUCGUUUCCCCUUUACCUUUUGGCUUUUCGAUUCUAAAAUAUUAAUGCAAUUGCCAACUGUCCUCUCCAUUGCUUGUUGAAUUAUCUGUACCAUUUGCAUGAACACGCCAUUUUGAAUUUCAUUUUCUGCACAAAUACCAUCAUUGGCCUGCAAAAUACUAGAAAUUUGGUGAAAAGCUUUGAAUUGACUAUGGCCGACGCUGGCAACUUCAUGUCCUAGAGUAAAUGUUCCCCAAAUCACCCAAUAUUCCAUAAAGAGAUACUCUCACAAUCUUUUUUUUGAGAAGGUAAUAAUUAUAGAUCACGUUCCUCUUGUGUAGCAAAACCUCACUUCAUCAUUUACUUUGUCUGGAAAGAACAAAAAAUGAUUGCACCAAACCUCAAAGUGAAUAGUCAUUGAGAUUCCCAUUGUCUGAAAUUUCUGAACUUUUUUGAAUUUGGAAUAUCAUAAACAUGAACUUCUUGUGAGUGACCAACCCACUGCACUAUCAUUAUCAAACACCGUGCAGGGAAAUUUGAGUUCGUGUCAGUGACUGCAGGAGAAGUUGAUGGGGAGCAGUCAAGAUGGUUGGGGCUUAUUAAGCUAAAGAUCUAUAGGUGGCUGAGUUUUGCUGUAUUGAUAGUGAAAAAGUUUGUGGCAGCAAAGAGUUUAUGAUUCCUGAGUAGGGUGUUUUAGGGCAAUCGAUAGGUUUGUGCUUGAGUGGCUGUCUAAAAGGGAUUUAUCUUAUAAUGUUUAAGGGGUUGAAGUCAAACCUGAGCAUGACCAAUUAAUUGAUCUGUCCAACCCUUAUUCUGGCUAUACGGUUACCACCUGUACUUGGAAUUGUCUCAGUUGAUGCCACUUUUGCAUUCAAGAGCAUGACUGCCCACUCCAAAUCUUUUCUUUUCGAAUUCGUUCAACCUCCCAAACAAACAAAAAGGGGAUUGAAAGGAUUUCCAACUUCUUGCAAUUUGCAUGGUGCGAUACUGAUUUUUCAACACACCCUCUCUAUGAUUCUUUAUGCAUUUGUACAAAUGACAAAAUCUUUAAUAUUUUCGCUGGAGAUGAAAAGUCAUAAUCCCAUACUUUGUUUCUUCAGUCUUUCUUUUUCUUUAUGCUGUCCCCACUCUGUCUUGUUUUGAAAAGAAAAAAUGUAUUGCGGCUGUCUGGUUCAUCUUGCUCAUUCAUAAAUGGAGGAUAUCCAGGUUAAGAAAAUUAUUCCAAACAAACAAUCAGAUGUUUGAUUUGAGAGCUUAACAGAUACUAUACCUUUUUUUUUUUUGGGCUGCACUUUUACAGGCAAGGGAAUUCUUUUUACAGUGAUGAAUAAUUCCGUUUUUUGGCCUUUCUUUUACUUUGCCCUUUGCUUUGUCUUUUUUCCUUGUCUGUUUCUCUUCUUCUUCCUUAUUCUUCACCAGCAAACCCUAGCACAUUAGCAUCGCCACAGUGCCACCAUCAAUUGCCAAUGCACCGCUUUUGACCACCGUCAACCACUACCAGCAGGCAUCAAUUUUAAGAAACCACAUAUGAUCUUACUUCAUUUUUUGAUAUGCUUUCAUUUUCGGGUACAAGGUUGACAACCACAAUACUAGGCCUGAACCAUCAGCUGAAGCAGGCACUCAGCAAUUUUUUCCCAUCAAACCCAAGUUAAAAAACAAAAAUACACAUAUAAAAAUGAGUCAUUGGGUUUAAGGAAAUUAGCUCCACCAUCAGUUACUAAAACAUUCAUACAAAUGAAUUUGGGGGUAGGGGGCAUUCGUGGAGCAUAGGUGGAGGCAUGGGGAGAGUUUGCUGCAUUCUUUCUUCUUGGAUACUUGUAACUUUUUUUGUUUUGUUUUUCUCUUCACUAUAGUGGAGAACUAAGUAGGUUAACAGGGGUGAAACCCACUAAAUUUGUCGGAGUGACUAAACCCAUUGAAGACCACUAUGAUUCCUUUAAAUUCAUUUCUGGUGGUUGUUACGAAACAUAAUUCGGUAUGAUUGACUUUGACUCCCAUUGCUGGGUCUGAUUUACCUUUACCAAAAAGGUCCUUCAUUUACCUGUUUAAACUAUAAUUUCUCCAGCCGCUUCCUCAUCUUCUCAGCAGUUUUCAAGAUAGUUGUUUUCUAUGCAGCUGGCAGGAUCUUCAAACCUAGGGGCUGUGGAAGAGAUCUAUUUUGAUUUCAGGAAGCAGUGUUUCAUUUUUUCUAAGGAGAAGGAAACUUUUUGUAAGCUUCCUUAUCCUUCUAAGGAAACAUUUGGAUAUUAUCUGAAAAGCACUGGCCAUGGCACUGAGGCUAAAGUUGUUGCUGCUACUGAGAAAUGGGGACGGAAUGCGUAAGUUGUUCAUUUUUGUUAAUUGUGUUCCGAAUCCCACACUUCAUUUACAUGAAUUUUACACAUCAGACUGAUGAUGAGCAACCAAUCAUCCCUGCCCAUAUUAUCUGCUUAUGUUAGAAAAGAUUUAAUUUCUUUCUGAGUGGGAUUCUUGUGGUUGUUUCCAGUGUUACCAGAAGAUUUUAUCCUGUUCUCAGUGAUUUUCUUGGAUUUUGACCUUGAGAGAAUUUUGGAUUUUAUUGCAGCAUCUUCUUUUUCGUUUUCUUUUUUUUUCCUUUGUUUAUGCAGUUACACAGACAAAUAACCUGACAAUUUGAAAAUGGUACAUGGUGCUUUGAGACUUUCACUUCAAAUAGUAUGUCGCUGUCAAAGACAAGGCCUUUUUGCUUGAUGUUCUAGCAAUAUCUCCGUUUAAUCUCUUUUGUGUAUCAUGUGGAAUGUUUUUGAAUGCUUUUACUUAUUUUUCUCUUCCUUCCCUCUGAAAAUUUUAGCGUACAGAAUAUUAUAAACUUCUCUAAUAUACAAAUUUAUAAUCACUGCAAGUAGACAUAGGUUUAUUGGAUACUUCAAUUUCAUUUUGGUGUAUAGUCAUAGUCCAACAUUAGCAUCAAUUUGAGCAAUUCUUUUAAAGUAAUUAUUAUUUUUUUUAUGCUAUAUCACAUUUAUGCUCAUCAAUGUGUACUUCUGUUGAAUAUUUUGCAUCUACAUUUCAUAUAAUUCCUUUAUCCUCGUGUUGGUUUUUUGUUAUGUAGAUUUGAAUAUCCUCAGCCCACAUUCCAGAAAUUAAUGAAAGAGCAGGUCAUGGAACCAUUUUUUGUAUUCCAGGUCUGCCGUCAUUUACAUUUGUACUUCUGUGUUGCUUGAAAAAAAUGUCUUCUUCCGAUUUUGCGGUUCAUUAUUUUUGUGAUUAAUAGUGUUCUUUGCUCUUUCUAAUCUUUUGAUGCUGCUUCUGUAGGUCUUUUGUGUGGGCUUAUGGUGUUUAGAUGAAUACUGGUAUUACAGUCUCUUUACCCUGUUUAUGCUGUUUAUGUUUGAGUCAACAAUGGCCAAAAGUCGUUUAAAGACUCUCACUGAGCUCAGACGUGUAAGAGUAGACAACCAGACAAUAAUGGUGUAUCGGUGUGGGAAGUAUGUUUUGCCUAUGGCUAUUGCUAAUUUUUCCCCCCCCCUUCAUGUUCUUGAAUUUGCAAUCUUUUUUUGGAAUCUUUUGCUAUUGCUGAGUAGUGAAAAAUUUUGAACUGUAGAUGGGUUAAACUCACUGGGACAGACCUUUUGCCUGGGGAUGUUGUGUCUAUUGGGCGUUCUACUGGUCCAGCAGGAGAAGAUAAGUCUGCGCCAGCUGAUAUGCUUUUGCUAGCUGGAAGUGCGAUCGUAAAUGAAGCUAUUCUGACAGGCGAGUCUACCCCUCAGUGGAAGGUGGUCUUCUUGUUCUUUUUCUCUUCCCUAACCCACAAAACCAUUUUUUGGAAACUUUUGCUUUUUGCUUUUUGCUUUUCUUUUUUUUUUGUGGGAAUUUUAUGAUUGUGCUACUCUUUGUUUGGCAAAUAAAUAGAAUUGAUUGGUAUUUGGCACAAUGUUUCAUGGGAUCAAUUGAGAUGUUCAAUGUACGAAAGCUUGCACCUUUCUUGGCGAGAGUUAAUGCUUGAAAAGUGCAUGUUUGCAUAAGUGCAUAUCCUGGAGGUUAACAACAUAAAAAAUAUAGCUAAAAAGCUACUGUUUUAAUAUUCUUUAAUUUUCUUGUUGCAUAAGUGUGCUGAUAUCUUGGAAAAAUUAUUACAUCUAAAUUGUUCGUGGAGCCGUGUCCUGGGGGAAAAUAUAUGACUCCUAUGUUCUCUGCAGUAUCGACUCUUUGUGAGAAAGGGCAAGCUAAUAGUUGAAAAAUGAUGAAGGCUUUGGGAAACCCUUAAACUAGUUCCCUCUUUCAAAAACCCAAGCCAAGUUUGGAUUUUUAUCCAAAAGUGGCCUUUGUUUCUUGAAAGUUUGUUUUGUCAUGUUUGGGUGGGAUUGGUAAUGGACAAUUGUUUUUGCUCUUCUGAUGAGGUUGAACGUUCGCUAAGUUAGGACAAUUGUUCAGCUCCACUCAGAUUAAAGUAGGGAGACCGGGACACAAGUUAAAGCAUCUUGUUGUGAAGGUUAAGCACCCUGAUUUCACCAUUUGAAAUGAAAACCUCAAAUGUGACAUUAAGUGUUUUACUGUUCUGGACAAAGAAUGCUUAAUAAGCUCCUGUAAAGCUGGUAAGCAGCUAAUUUAGGUUUGAACUUUGCUUGUUGGUCCACUCAGGUAAAGCCUUUUGAGUCUUUUAGCACAAGUUGUGACUUGAUCUUUACCCUUACCAAAUAGUUGUUCUGCUUAAAAUUGGAUAGGAGCUAGCCAACACCCAUUAAUUUUUUAUAAGGUGAGGUGUUACAUUUUCUGUGCACCCUGAACAGUAAGGUACCUUAUCUGAACAGUCUAUGAAAACUUGAUUCUCCUUAAAAUUGGAUUGAAGAGUUUAUGGUUACAACAGAUGUCUCUCUCUCUCUCUCCCUGUUUUUUUUUUGGUACACUAACAGCAAGUGUGCAAUCGUGCUUGCCUUUGUAUCUGCAUUUUGAGUGAGGUCUGCAAAACGUUUGUAUCAAUGAACCAGAUCUCUCUGAGGGGUUGGCCUCUUAGUUUUACUGUCUUAUAUUUGAAAGAAGGAACUAGUUGAGAGAUUUAUCUGCAUGCAGCAUUGCAUUCUCUGCACAACUUUUUUUGAUGGCCAACACAAAUUACUCAUUUACUGGUGCUGCAUCUGUAUCUUCAGUGGAACUCUUUUAGUGGUUAAGCAGUUGAAAUCAAUUUUCUAGCUGGGUAGUUUUUUUUUGGAUCCGCAUCUCAUGGUCUUCUUGUUUCCUCUUUUUUUUUUUGGUCUUUUUUUGUCUUUUGUUUUUUAUAAGUUAUUCUUUUGAUGCUCUUCAACAUUUUUAAUGUGAAAAUGUCCUUUUCAGGUUUCAAUCAUUGGUAGAGGAACAGAUGAGAAAUUAUCAGCUAAUAUGGGAUUGCGAGAUUUUUAUUUUUAUUUUUUGCGAAUAAUGAUACAUAAACAUAUAGUUUGUUUGGAUAUGACUAGGGGUGAGCAUCGAAAUCGAAAUCGAUAAUUCGGCUGAUUAAAUUCAUUGAUUUCGGUAAUUUUUCUUGUGAGAUUCCAACCUAAUUCAAUUUCGAAUUGAAAACUUUUAGUUUCGAUUUCGAUUCAAUUCGAAAUUGGAAGAGUAGCGAAUACCGAAUUCAAAAAGAAUAAUGCAUUUUGUUAUAUAUUAUAAAGUGCAUCAUAACAUAAUAUAAUGAUAUAUUCUUAUGAUAACAUUUAGUUUUACAUAAAAUUGAAUGUAUAUAACAUUCUAAUAUGUAUUUUGCACAUGCUAUUUACUUAUAUAUGGUAUUCAUGUAUAAUACAUACAUGUCUAAAUUAUAUAUGUGUUGUUUAAUAUUUAAAUAUUUUUUCAAUUCAAAAUUAGUAAAAUCCGACUUCAAAAACCAGUACCAUUUUCAUAUCUAUUUCAAAAUACAUGAAUUCGAUAUCUUCGUCAUCCUUCUAAAUUUAUGAAUUACGAAUUCUGAAUUUUUGAAUUCAUUUGGAAAUUGAUUGGUAAUUUGGUAAAUUUUGAAUUUUUACACCCUUAAAUGUAACUUAGUAUUUGGGAAAUGUUGUCGAAUUUUCUAUGUUUCUCUCUCUCAUUUCUCUACAAUGAUCAUAUACAUGGGAGUCUAUAAACACUUACUAUGGUUCACUACCCAGCACUAUUUCGUUUUGGCGAAAAGUUUUGAGUUCUAGCUUGACUUUGAAAUUGACUUGUGUUCUCUGUACAUGCUCCAUUUUGCAGGUCAAUGACAUUCACCAAGCAGAUUCAUGCAAAGUUAUUCCUGCUAAAUUCUGUGGUUCAAAAGAAAUUGUGCCCCUACAUUUUCGAAAGGUUCGAAGCCUGCUGAUAAUCUUGUGAAUUUUGAUUUCCAGCCUUCUUGUUCCACGAGUUGAAUCCUGAUUUCAACUUAUUUUUGUUUUCAUUUUGACUUUGGAUAUACUGCUUUCAAUAGGUUGUCAUGAUUUCACUAAAGCUGUAAGUAAUAUGAGUUACACCAUUAGAUGCUACAGUAUCUGUCAGGCACAAAAUAGCUAUAUUAUGAAAUACGAAGUAUUCAUGGAAAAACCUGUACAUCCUGGCUAUGUUAUGAUUUACCUAUGGCAGUGAAUAAUUAGAGUUCCAUUCUCUGAAAAUUAUCCCCUGUACUUGUACGUCCAUUAUAGCUCACAUGAGAACUGUCUCCGAUCAAGUUGUCUUUGUACUAGGGAUUUGACCACUAGAUUCUGGAGCACUUGUCUGAAAGAUUAUUAGAACGAUGCUAUGAUGGCCUCGAUAUUUAAUCCAGAUUCUGGAUGGUUUAUUACCUGGCAAAUGAUAGGUGGCAAAUGGCAAGUUUGGUGUGUAAUUGGGUGGGUUGUAAGUGGAUCACUAAUAAAUGGGUGAAAUUCCAAUUGAACAAAUGAUUAUAAGGUAUUAGGUGGGUUAUCAAUGGACCUGUAAGACCUAUUCUCAAGGUGACAUGAUAAUUUUUUUUUCAACUAUCUUUUUACAUGAUUUUUACCCUUUUAUUUUCUCCC
rnacentral:lncRNA from 1 species